CCUUGAGCUCAAUUUCAAGGUCAUAAACCAAGGACCUUAAAUCAAAAGACUUUAGGUCUUUACUUUAUAUUGUUAAUGAGUUAUAUUACCAUACGACUGAUAUUAGAUAUAAAAGGGGGGAAACUCGCAUCAAAUGUUUACGUACCCUUUCGACUCAAAUUUAUGUGUAACUACAUGUCCCGACUACCAAUUGUGUGAAAGUAUUUUGUCGAUAUCUUAUAUGAUUUCUGAAAAGAAGCGAUAACAAGCCAAAAUCAAAAUUUUGAACAUGACCUUGACCUUUGACCUUGACCUCAUUUUCAUACUUUUUGACCAAAUGCCUCAAAUCAAAAGACCCUAGGCCUCUAUCACUUAUGUUUUUCCAGUUACAAAUUUAUUUCACUUAUUUCAAUACAAAAGGGGAAAUUACUCUCAUAUGGGGUCUUCGUAAAGCUUCGGUCAAAAUAAAAGGUAACAUCCUGAGGAUAUAACGAGCAAUUUGGAAAAAUAAAUUUGUCGCUUUCUUUUACGGUUGCGGAGGAGAUCUGAUAACAAGAAAAACAGUGUUUGGGGAGAUAACUCUUACAAAGAAAAGUGUUCGGUUAAACAGGGUCAGUUUCAAAAAGCGAAUAGACUGUAUGAUAUCAUAUACAAAAAAACUAAGCGACAUCUUUUGAAACUUUUUUACACCGCAAGAAAAAAAUUAGGCGGAAGAAAAAAAAAAUAAUCAGAACAAAUUCAAUAGGUCUUUCCACCAGGAAAAGUGGAAAGACCUAAUAA
rnacentral:lncRNA from 1 species